GACAGAGGCCUCAAGCGUUAGGCGGAAUCACUGGGCUUAAAGCGUGUGUAGGCGGAUCGUUAAGUGCCUUGUGAAAUCCCACGGCUUAACUGUGGAACGGCUGGGCAUACUGGCGGUCUUGAGCCAUCUAGGGGCGACUGGAACAAACGGUGGAGCGGUGAAAUGCGUAGAUAUCGCUUGGAACGCCGAAGGUGAAAACAGGCUGCUGGGGUUGCGCCGACGCUGAGACACGAAAGCCAGGGGAGCAAACGGG
rnacentral:rRNA from 1 species